rnacentral:rRNA from 1 species
GACGAACCACACAAACGUUAUUCGGAAUUACUGGGCUUAAAGGGUGCGUAGGCGGCGCGGAAAGUAGGGUGUGAAAUCCCUCAGCUCAACUGAGGAACUGCGCUCUAAACUACCGUGCUUGAGGGAGAUAGAGGUGAGCGGAACUUAGGGUGGAGCGGUGAAAUGCGUUGAUAUCGGGAGGAACACCGGUGGCGAAGGCGGGUCUCUGGGCCAUUACUGACGCUGAGGAGCGAAAGCGUGGGGAGCGAACAGG